rnacentral:rRNA from 1 species
AUUGAACGCUGGCGGCAGGCUUAACACAUGCAAGUCGAGCGGGGUGAGGUGCUUCGGUACUGAUCCUAGCGGCGGACGGGUGAGUAAUGCUUAGGAAUCUGCCAUUUAGUGGGGGACAACAUUCCGAAAGGAAUGCUAAUACCGCAUACGUCCUACGGGAGAAAGCAGGGGAUCUUCGGACCUUGCGCUAAAUGAUGAGCCUAAGUCGGAUUAGCUAGUUGGUGGGGUAAAGGCCUACCAAGGCGACGAUCUGUAGCGGGUCUGAGAGGAUGAUCCGCCACACUGGGACUGAGACACGGCCCAGACUCCGACGGGAGGCAGCAGUGGGGAAUAUUGGACAAUGGGCGGAAGCCUGAUCCAGCCAUGCCGCGUGUGUGAAGAAGGCCUUUUGGUUGUAAAGCGAUUUAAGCGAGGAGGAGGCUACCUGGAUUAAUACUCUAGGAUAGUGGACGUUACUCGCAGAAUAAGCACCGGCUAACUCUGUGCCAGCAGCCGCCGUAAUAC